GAUGAACGCUGGCGGCGUGCCUAAUACAUGCAAGUCGAGCGAACAGACGAGGAGCUUACUCCUCUGACGUUAGCGGCGGACGGGUGAGUAACACGUGGAUAACCUACCUAUAAGACUGGGAUAACUUCGGGAAACCGGAGCUAAUACCGGAUAACAUGUUGAACCGCAUGGUUCAACAGUGAAAGACGGUCUUGCUGUCACUUAUAGAUGGAUCCGCGUCGCAUUAGCUAGUUGGUAAGGUAACGGCUUACCAAGGCAACGAUGCGUAGCCGACCUGAGAGGGUGAUCGGCCACACGGGAACGGAGCCACGGUCCAGACUCCUAAGGGAGGCAGCAGUAGGGAAUCUUCCGCAAUGGGCGAAAGCCUGACGGAGCAACGCCGCGUGAGUGAAGAAGGUCUUCGGAUCGUAAAACUCUGUUAUUAGGGAAGAACAAAUGUGUAAGUAACUAUGCACGUCUUGACGGUACCUAAUCAGAAAGCCACGGCUAACUACGUG
rnacentral:rRNA from 1 species